GGGAGCGUAACUGCAGUCGUCGCCUCUGGUAUUGAUUGGUGCUUGCAUCAUGAUUUACAUUUGAGUGAGUGGCGAACUGGUGAGUAACACGUGGGAAACCUGCCCAGAAGCGGGGGAUAACACCUGGAAACAGAUGCUAAUACCGCAUAACAACUUGGACCGCAUGGUCCGAGCUUGAAAGAUGGCUUCGGCUAUCACUUUUGGAUGGUCCCGCGGCGUAUUAGCUAGAUGGUGGGGUAACGGCUCACCAUGGCAAUGAUACGUAGCCGACCUGAGAGGGUAAUCGGCCACAUUGGGACUGAGACACGGCCCAAACUCCUACGGGAGGCAGCAGUAGGGAAUCUUCCACAAUGGACGAAAGUCUGAUGGAGCAACGCCGCGUGAGUGAAGAAGGGUUUCGGCUCGUAAAACUCUGUUGUUAAAGAAGAACAUAUCUGAGAGUAACGGUUCAGGUAUUUGACCGGUAUUUAACCAGAAAGCCACCAGGCCAACUGAUCGUGCCUAGCUAGCCGCGAGCUAAUAACGUUAGAUCGCAAAGCGUCGUCCCGAUUUAUUGGGCGUAAAGCGAAUGCGCCAGGACGGUUUUUCUAAGUCUGAUGUGAAAGCCUGCGGCUCAAACUGAAGAAGUGCAUCCGCAAACCUGGGAAAGCUUGAGUGCCAGAAGAGGACAGUGGAACUCCAUGUGUAGCGGUGAAAUGCGGUAGAUAUAUGAGAAGAACAUCCAGUGGCGAAGGCUGGCUGCUCUAGGUCUGUAACUGACGACUGAGGCUCGAAAGUAUGCGGAUAGCAAACAGGACUAGAUUACCCCUGGCUAGUCCACACCUGUCAAACGAUGAAUCGCCUAAGUCGUCGGUAGGGCAUUCCAGCCCUUUCCAGGUGCUGCAGACUAACGUCAUUAAGCAUGUACCGCAUGGGGUAGUACAGUCAGCAAGGCAUAGAAACUCAAAGGACAUCGACGGGGCGCCCCGCACAAUGCGGAGGAGGCAUGUGGGCAUCUUAAUUCGAAGCUACGCGAAGAACCUUACCAGGUCUUGACAUACUAUGCAAAUCUAAGAGAUUAGACGUUCCCUUCGGGGACAUGGAUACAGGUGGUGCAUGGUUGUCGUCAGCUCGUGUCGUGAGAUGUUGGGUUAAGUCCCGCAACGAGCGCAACCCUUAUUAUCAGUUGCCAGCAUUAAGUUGGGCACUCUGGUGAGACUGCCGGUGACAAACCGGAGGAAGGUGGGGAUGACGUCAAAUCAUCAUGCCCCUUAUGACCUGGGCUACACACGUGCUACAAUGGAUGGUACAACGAGUUGCGAACUCGCGAGAGUAAGCUAAUCUCUUAAAGCCAUUCUCAGUUCGGAUUGUAGGCUGCAACUCGCCUACAUGAAGUCGGAAUCGCUAGUAAUCGCGGAUCAGCAUGCCGCGGUGAAUACGUUCCCGGGCCUUGUACACACCGCCUAGUCACACCAUGAGAGUUUGUAACACCCAAAGUCGGUGGGGUAUCUUUUGGGACCAUUCGUCUAUAGGCA
rnacentral:rRNA from 2 species